CCAGCACCUGUGCUCGAGGGUUACAAUACAUGGCCUGUACCACGGUAAUGUAUUCCUCGGGGAAACCCAAGUGUCGUAGCACCGUAAACAUAUACUGCCACCGCACUCUAUCGAAAGCUUUUUCAGCAUCAAUAGAGACUGCCAGUGUAGGUGUAUUCGUCAUCGUUUGUUUCCAGAUGAGAUCAAUAUUUCUACGGGUAUUUUCAAACAAUUGAUGGCCAGGGAUGAAACCCACUUGGUCAGGGUUAAUAAGAUGUGUCAAGUAUGGGGAGAGUCGC